AGCGAACGCUGGCGGCAGGCCUAACACAUGCAAGUCGAACGAACUCUUCGGAGUUAGUGGCGGACGGGUGAGUAACACGUGGGAACGUGCCUUUAGGUUCGGAAUAACUCAGGGAAACUUGUGCUAAUACCGAAUGUGCCCUUCGGGGGAAAGAUUUAUCGCCUUUAGAGCGGCCCGCGUCUGAUUAGCUAGUUGGUGAGGUAAAGGCUCACCAAGGCGACGAUCAGUAGCUGGUCUGAGAGGAUGAUCAGCCACAUUGGGACUGAGACACGGCCCAAACUCAUACGGGAGGCAGCAGUGGGGAAUCUUGAGCAAUGGGAGAAAGCCUGACGCAGCCAUGCCGCGUGAAUGAUGAAGGUCUUAGGAUUGUAAAAUUCUUUCACCGGGGACGAUAAUGACGGUACCCGGAGAAGAAGCCCCGGCUAACUUCGUG
rnacentral:rRNA from 1 species